rnacentral:lncRNA from 1 species
CUUUGAACUCGGCCGGGCCAGGCUGCUCAGCUGGGCACAGGCAGGGAUGCUUGCGGGGACACAUCAUGCCGCUGUCCCCAACCCUCGCCCAAACCCUGUGAGGGCAGCUGGUCCUGCAGGAAGCUGGCCCAAGGCCCCAAGCUGUUUGUCCAGCUGUACGCGCCUCCCCAGGCCUCAGGCUCUUGUGUACCUUGGCAUGCACACUGCCCUCAGGCAUCUGCACCCCGUGGGGCCAGGCAGAGCCAGCACGGGGCAGUGGGCUGCACUGAGGCCCCUUCAGGCCUCCCCUGCUCUCUUCUGUGUGUGCGACCCAAUCACCAGUGUGCUUCCAGCCAGCAGCCUGCACCUCCACAGCCACCUUUAGGAGACCAGCUUUGAUGUGAGCCAGAGGAGCUCUAAGCUGGGGUGGGGUCUCAAGGACCCCAAGCCUCAGUAGACACUAAGGACCUUGGUGACCUCACGCACACACUGCAUCCCGGGGGUGAGGAGGGGUCCGACCUAGGCCUCCUUCCACUGCAAGGUGGGGUCCUCCCCUCACGGCAGGGUCUGGGGCGUGUCUCCUCACCAGCCUUUGUUUCCUGGCUGUGCCAACGCUAAGGGGGACCAAAGGAGCCAGGCCCCGGAAAAGGACAGAUCAGCGGCUUGGCCCAGGCACCGAAGCAGGACACAGCAAAGCAGCCCGGGACGAGUGCUGGCCGGGUCCUGACCUGUCCCUGCGUGGAGGGGUUCUAGUACGCCCCAUCUGUCCCCCUCCGCAGAGUGAGGACCAAGAAGAUGUCUCAGUAGCAUCAUCGCUAGGAUGAGCAGGUGGAGAUUGGUCUCCGUAGGGCGUAAAUCUAGGUUUCUCAACCUUACUACUAACAGGAGAGGCGGGAGUGACCCUGGGGGGCUGUUCUGAGCACCGACACCACCCCUGGGUCCAGACCCUACAAUCCAGAAGCACCCACCUGUCCAGAUGUGACCACAAGAACAUCUGCAGGGGCGCUCCACGGGAGGCAAAGGCACCCAGGAGAAAUCACCGUAAAAACAGUGGAAAAAAUCACUGUUUUUAGGGUUGAUCUCAGACUCCUGAGCUCAAGCCAUCCUCCUGGCUCAGCCUCCCAAGCAGCUGGUCCUACAGGUGCAUACCACCCCACCUCAUGGCUGUGUCUACAUGUCCCCCAAAGCCGCACGUGGUCAUAGGUGGGGCUUUUUCAGAGGUGGCCGCAUCUAGAGGGUGUGAUGCUGGAAAUGAUUCUUGGUGCAAUGCUAGGCUCAAGGGCACAGGAUUAAGGGUGUGCAUGCUAAGGGUCUGAGUAGCCUGGGUAAGAUAAAAGGCACAGAAAGAUGCUGAUAAGGUCCCUUGCUUGCUUGCUUUUGCUGUCCUCUGCUUGCCAUGAACUGUUUCUCCUCUGUGUUGCCCCUCUACAAAGCCAACCUGCCUUGGAGUCAGUUGAUUAUGGACUGAAACCUCUUCAAACUGUGAGCAAAUAAACCUUUAAUUUUGGGUGUUGGGUGUUUUGUCUCAGCAAUGGAAAAAGUAACUAACACACCUGACUAGAAGCUUCUGGACGUUCUUUACCUGAAUCAGCUCAUUUAAACCCCAACAACUCCAAUGAUUAUCCCUAUCUUGCAAAUGAGGCCACCCAGGAACUGAGAAGCCCUGGUCACCAAGCUGGCAAGGGUGGGAGAACACUUGGCUCCAG